rnacentral:rRNA from 1 species
GUAGGGGGCAAGCGUUGUCCGGAUUCAUUGGGCGUAAAGAGCGUGUAGGCGGCCAGGUAGGUCGGUUGUGAAAACUGGAGGCUCAACCUUCAGAGGUCGACCGAAACCAUCUGGCUAGAGUCCGGGAGAGGAGAGUGGAAUUCCUGGUGUAGCGGUGAAAUGCGCAGAUAUCAGGAAGAACACCCGUGGCGAAAGCGGCUCUCUGGAACGGUACUGACGCUGAGACGCGAAAGCGUGGGGAGCGAACAGGAUUAGAUACCCUGGUAGUCCACGCCGUAAACGAUGGGCGCUAGGUGUGGGAGGUGUCGACUCCUCCCGUGCCGCAGCUAACGCAUUAAGCGCCCCGCCUGGGGAGUACGGCCGCAAGGCUA